CGCGUAGGCGGGGAUGCAAGUCAGAUGUGAAAUCUAUGGGCUUAACCCAUAAACUGCAUUUGAAACUGUAUCUCUUGAGUGCUGGAGAGGUAGAUGGAAUUCCUUGUGUAGCGGUGAAAUGCGUAGAUAUAAGGAAGAACACCAGUGGCGAAGGCGAUCUACUGGACAGUAACUGACGCUGAGGCGCGAAAGCGUGGGAGCAAACA
rnacentral:rRNA from 1 species